rnacentral:misc_RNA from 1 species
GUAGGUGAACCUGCGGAAGGAUCAUUAAUAAACCUAGUCGUUCGCGUACAUAGGGGCAACCCUCGCGUGAUGUCAGCAAUACCUAGGUAACCCUUGAAUAAACUACCCUUGUUGCUUUGGCGGGCCGCCGUCUCGGCCAGCGGCUUCGGCUGCUGCGCGCCCGCCAGAGGACCACAACUCUUGUUUUUAGUGAUGUCUGAGUACUAUAUAAUAGUUAAAACUUUCAACAACGGAUCUCUUGGUUCUGGCA